rnacentral:rRNA from 1 species
AGUGAACGCUGGCGGUAGGCCUAACACAUGCAAGUCGAACGGCAGCACAGUAAGAGCUUGCUCUUACGGGUGGCGAGUGGCGGACGGGUGAGGAAUACAUCGGAAUCUACUUUUUCGUGGGGGAUAACGUAGGGAAACUUACGCUAAUACCGCAUACGACCUACGGGUGAAAGCAGGGGAUCUUCGGACCUUGCGCGAUUGAAUGAGCCGAUGUCGGACUAGCUAGUUGGCGGGGUAAAGGCCCACCAAGGCGACGAUCCGUAGCUGGUCUGAGAGGAUGAUCAGCCAAAAUGGAACUGAGACACGGUCCAGACUCCUACGGGAGGCAGCAAGGGGGAAUAUUGGACAAAGGGCGCAAGGCUGAUCCAGCCAUACCGCGUGGGUGAAGAAGGUCUUCGGGUUGUAAAGCCCUUUUGUUGGGAAAGAAAAGCAGCAGGUUAAUACCCCGCUGUUCUGACGGUACCCAAAGAAUAAGCACCGGCUAACUUCGUG